rnacentral:lncRNA from 1 species
CAAGGAAAGAGAAAUGAAGGUGCAUGGAAUUGUGUUUUUGUUGUGGGAAUGUGUAGAAUGGUUAAGAAGAAAAGACUCUACCUUGCGGCAGAAUGUGUCUUCCUCCCUUCUCCCUAAACUGUCCCCCUGAAUGUGUCUUUGGAUGGAUAUAUUUAUAGGCUAGGGAGAGGAUGUAGUGGGUGGUGGUAAUGAGUGGAUGUAGUGGUAGGUGAAUGUGUUGG